rnacentral:rRNA from 1 species
AUUGAACGCUGGCGGCAGGCUUAACACAUGCAAGUCGAACGAGUGGCGGACGGGUGAGUAAUGUCUGGGAAACUGCCCGAUGGAGGGGGAUAACUACUGGAAACGGUAGCUAAUACCGCAUACCAUCGGAUGUGCCCAGAUGGGAUUAGGUAGUAGGUGGGGUAAAGGCUCACCUAGGCGACGAUCCCUAGCUGGUCUGAGAGGAUGACCAGGCACACAGGAACUGAGACACGGCCCAGACUCCUACGGGAGGCAGCAGUGGGGAAUAUUGCACAAUGGUCGCAAGCCUGAUGCAGCCAUGCCGCGUGUAUGAAGAAGGCCUUCGGGUUGGAAAGUACUUUCAGCGAGGAGGCGUUACUCGCAGAAGAAGCACCGGCUAACUCCGUGCCAGCAGCCGCGGUAAUAC